rnacentral:tRNA from 1 species
GAUGAAGUGCCUGAUUAAAGGGCUAUCUUGAUAGGGUAGAUCAAGCAAGACCCCCCUUGCCUUCAUUA